rnacentral:rRNA from 1 species
UACGAAGGGGACUAGCGUUGUUCGGAAUUACUGGGCGUAAAGCGCACGUAGGCGGAUUUGUUAGUCAGGGGUGAAAUCCCCAGGCUUAACUUGGGAACUGCGUCUGAUACUGGGAGGCUUGAGUGCGGGAGAGGGAUGUGGAAUUCCAGGUGUAGCGGUGAAAUGCGUAGAUAUCUGGAGGAACACCGGUGGCGAAGGCGGCAUCCUGGACCGACACUGACGCUGAGGCGCGAAAGCUAGGGGAGCAAACGGG